CCUAUGGGAGGCAGCAGUGGGGAAUAUUGCGCAAUGGGCGAAAGCCUGACGCAGCGACGCCGCGUGAGGGAUGAAGGUCUUCGGAUCGUAAACCUCUGUCAGCAGGGAAGAACGGUCACUGUGCUAAUCAGCAGUGAAUUGACGGUACCUGCAAAGGAAGCAUCGGCUAACUCCGUGCCAGCAGCUGCGGUAAUACGGAGGGUGCGUGCGUUAAUCGGAAUUACUGGGCGUAAAGCGCUCGUAGGCUGUAUGUCAAGGCAAGGGUGAAAUCCCCGCGCUCAACGUGGGAACUGCCAUUGAGACUGGCGAACUGGAGUGUGUGAGAGGAUGGUGGAAU
rnacentral:rRNA from 1 species